GGGGGGCGGCUACCAUGCAGUCGAGCGGAUGAAGGAGCUUGCUCCUGAAUUCAGCGGCGGACGGGUGAGUAAUGCCUAGGAAUCUGCCUGGUAGUGGGGGACAACGUUUCGAAAGGAACGCUAAUACCGCAUACGUCCUACGGGAGAAAGCAGGGGACCUUCGGGCCUUGCGCUAUCAGAUGAGCCUAGGUCGGAUUAGCUAGUUGGUGAGGUAAUGGCUCACCAAGGCGACGAUCCGUAACUGGUCUGAGAGGAUGAUCAGUCACACUGGAACUGAGACACGGUCCAGACUCCUACGGGAGGCAGCAGUGGGGAAUAUUGGACAAUGGGCGAAAGCCUGAUCCAGCCAUGCCGCGUGUGUGAAGAAGGUCUUCGGAUUGUAAAGCACUUUAAGUUGGGAGGAAGGGUUGUAGAUUAAUACUCUGCAAUUUUGACGUUACCGACAGAAUAAGCACCGGCUAACUCUGUGCCAGCAGCCGCGGUAAUACAGAGGGUGCAAGCGUUAAUCGGAAUUACUGGGCGUAAAGCGCGCGUAGGUGGUUUGUUAAGUUGGAUGUGAAAUCCCCGGGCUCAACCUGGGAACUGCAUCCAAAACUGGCAAGCUAGAGUAUGGUAGAGGGUGGUGGAAUUUCCUGUGUAGCGGUGAAAUGCGUAGAUAUAGGAAGGAACACCAGUGGCGAAGGCGACCACCUGGACUGAUACUGACACUGAGGUGCGAAAGCGUGAGGAGCAAACAGGAUUAGAUACCCUGGUAGUCCACGCCGUAAACGAUGUCAACUAGCCGUUGGGAGCCUUGAGCUCUUAGUGGCGCAGCUAACGCAUUAAGUUGACCGCCUGGGGAGUACGGCCGCAAGGUUAAAACUCAAAUGAAUUGAC
rnacentral:rRNA from 1 species